rnacentral:rRNA from 1 species
UACGUAGGUGGCAAGCGUUGUCCGGAUUUAUUGGGCGUAAAGCGAGCGCAGGCGGUUUUUUAAGUCCGAUGUGAAAGCCUUAGGCUCAACCUAAGAAGUGCAUCGGAAACUGUGAAACUUGAGUGCAGAAGAGGACAGUGGAAUUCCAUGUGUAGCGGUGAAAUGUGUAGAUAUAUGGAAGAACACCAGUGGCGAAGGCGGCUGUCUGGUCUGUAACUGACGCUGAGGCUCGAAAGCGUGGGUAGCAAACAGG